UACGGAGGGUGCAAGCGUUAUCCGGAUUCACUGGGUUUAAAGGGUGCGUAGGCGGACUCUUAAGUCGGGGGUGAAAUCCUGGAGCUCAACUCCAGAACUGCCUUCGAUACUGAGAGUCUUGAGUCCGGGAGAGGUGAGUGGAACUGCGAGUGUAGAGGUGAAAUUCGUAGAUAUUCGCAAGAACACCAGUGGCGAAGGCGGGUUGCUGGGCUGAUACUGACGCUGAGGCGCGAAAGCUAGGGGAGCGAACGGG
rnacentral:rRNA from 1 species